rnacentral:rRNA from 1 species
CAAUAGAUACCCGGGUAGUCCACGCCGUAAACGAUGAGUGCUAAGUGUUAGAGGGUUUCCGCCCUUUAGUGCUGCAGCUAACGCAUUAAGCACUCCGCCUGGGGAGUACGGUCGCAAGACUGAAACUCAAAGGAAUUGACGGGGGCCCGCACAAGCGGUGGAGCAUGUGGUUUAAUUCGAAGCAACGCGAAGAACCUUACCAGGUCUUGACAUCCUCUGACAACUCUAGAGAUAGAGCGUUCCCCUUCGGGGGACAGAGUGACAGGUGGUGCAUGGUUGUCGUCAGCUCGUGUCGUGAGAUGUUGGGUUAAGUCCCGCAACGAGCGCAACCCUUGAUCUUAGUUGCCAGCAUUUAGUUGGGCACUCUAAGGUGACUGCCGGUGACAAACCGGAGGAAGGUGGGGAUGACGUCAAAUCAUCAUGCCCCUUAUGACCUGAGCUACACACGUGCUGCAAUGGAUGGUACAAAGGGCUGCAAGACCGCGAGGUCAAGCCAAUCCCAUAAAACCCAUUCUCAGUUCGGAUU